rnacentral:rRNA from 1 species
AGUUUGAUCAUGGCUCAGAUUGAACGCUGGCGGCAUGCCUUACACAUGCAAGUCGAACGGUAACGGGCCUUCGGGUGCCGACGAGUGGCGAACGGGUGAGUAAUGCAUCGGAACGUACCUUUCAGUGGGGAUAACGUAGCGAAAGUUACGCUAAUACCGCAUAUUCUGUGAGCAGGAAAGCAGGGGAUCGCAAGACCUUGCGCUGAUUGAGCGGCCGAUGUCAGAUUAGCUAGUUGGUGAGGUAAAGGCUCACCAAGGCGACGAUCUGCAGCGGGUCUGAGAGGAUGAUCCGCCACACUGGAACUGAGACACGGUCCAGACUCCUACGGGAGGCAGCAGUGGGGAAUUUUGGACAAUGGGGGCAACCCUGAUCCAGCCAUGCCGCGUGAGUGAAGAAGGCCUUCGGGUUGUAAAGCUCUUUCGGCCGGGAAGAAAUCGCAUGGGUUAAUACCCUGUGCGGAUGACGGUACCGGCAUAAGAAGCACCGGCUAACUACGUG